UCUCGGCUUAUCACCGGCAGUCCCCCUAGAGUGCCCAACUGAAUGAUGGCAACUAAGGGCGAGGGUUGCGCUCGUUGCGGGACUUAACCCAACAUCUCACGACACGAGCUGACGACAGCCAUGCAGCACCUGUGUGCAGGUCCCCGAAGGGAAGGAAUCCAUCUCUGCGCCCGCGACGCCCAUGUCAAGGGCUGGUAAGGUUUUUCGCGUUGCAUCGAAUUAAUCCACAUCAUCCACCGCUUGUGCGGGUCCCCGUCAAUUCCUUUGAGUUUUAAUCUUGCGACCGUACUCCCCAGGCGGUCUACUUCACGCGUUAGCUGCGUUACCAAGUUAAUUAAAACCCGACAACUAGUAGACAUCGUUUAGGGCGUGGACUAC
rnacentral:misc_RNA from 1 species